rnacentral:rRNA from 1 species
UACGGAGGGGGCAAGCGUUGUUCGGAAUUAUUGGGCGUAAAGCGUAUGUAGGCGGCUAAGUAAGUCAGGCGUGCAAGCCCGUGGCUCAACCACGGAAUUGCGUUUGAAACUGUUUAGCUUGAGUGCAGGAGAGGAAGGCGGAAUUCCCAGUGUAGCGGUGAAAUGCAUUGAUAUUGGGAAGAACAUCUGUGGCGAAGGCGGCUAACUGGCAGAACAUUGACGCUGAGGUGCGAAAGCGUGGGGAGCAAACAGG